ensembl:lncRNA SLC66A1L solute carrier family 66 member 1 like (pseudogene)
CCCUGGCAGUCGCGGAGGGGAAGGCUGAGGGACCCGGUCCCCGCCCCGCGUGCUCAGGCUGAACAGCUUUUCUUCCCUGAUCUCUCGGAGGCGCCGGCUGCUGGCCAACGCAGGGCAGCCUCCUGCGUGCGUGCUGUGGGUUUCUCCUUCAGUUUCCUCUCAUUGCCUGAGGUUGGGCCCGAACACGGCGGUACAUUUCCUUGAGAGUCUUCUACAUUCAUGCUGUAGAAGCUAUGAAAGUCGUGGGAAACUAUAGAGUCAACACUGCAAACUCAAGCACUGAUACGUCCGGAGAGCACUUGACCUGCCUUAGAAGAUUUGAAAACAAUUUGUAGCCAACUUCAGUAUGAAUCAAAGCAUUGUUUUAAAAGGAAAGAUUCCUUCUGACAUUAAAUUGCAUUUUCCAAGAACCAGCAACAUCAACCAUCCAGACUUUAAUUAUGGAAUCACAGGUGCAACUGCGUAUCUCCUCAGUAGAGGACAGGAAGAUUUGUGUGACUGGGACUUUAUGGAUUUGGCAUCUCCUGCAAGAUGUGUGUCCAACUCCUGGGAAUACUGUAGCAUGAUUAUAGAAUUGGUUUCUAUUGUCUGUUUUCUGUUUGUUGCUCUCUCAUAAGUUAAGAAUCUUGGAUUUCAAGUCUAUAGUGUAACACUCUUGUUCAUAAUUUCUUAUUUAAAAAAAUGUUUAAAUAUUUCUAUAUUAAGUAUUUUUUCAAACUAUUUGGGCUUGCUAUUGAACAAAUGUUCUCUUUGUAUUGUAUAUUUUGAAGGUGCUAAAAAGCAUCACUAAAACAUUUUGGAAUAUAACAGAAAGAUGGUUAAUACAUUAUACUGACUACUUUUUUCUCAAUUAAGAUAUACAAAUCUUUUAUAUUUAGUAAUCAGAAAGGCAAUAAAGCAUAUGUACCUUACCUCUUCACCAUCCUA